rnacentral:ncRNA from 1 species
UUUCUGUAACUGACGGACAACGUGGAGCACCACAGGGGAGCAGAAAAUGCCUUUGCCGACCGUCUGGGCGCCU